CCUACGGGGUGCAGCAGUGGGGAAUAUUGCGCAAUGGGCGAAAGCCUGACGCAGCGACGCCGCGUGAGGGAUGAAGGUCUUCGGAUCGUAAACCUCUGUCAGCAGGGAAGAACGGUCACUGUGCUAAUCAGCAGUGAAUUGACGGUACCUGCAAAGGAAGCACCGGCUAACUCCGUGCCAGCAGCCGCGGUAAUACGGAGGGGGCGAGCGUUAAUCGGAAUUACUGGGCGUAAAGCGCUCGUAGGCGGUAUGUCAAGUCAAGGGGGAAAUCCCCGCGCUCAACGUGGGAACUGCCUUUGAAACGGGCAAACUGGAGUGUGGGAGAGGAUAGUGGAAUUCCAGGUGUAGGAGUGAAAUCCGUAGAUAUCUGGAGGAACACCAGUGGCGAAGGCGACUAUCUGGCACAUAACUGACGCUGAGGAGCGAAAGCGUGGGUAGCAAACAGGAUUAGAUACCCGAGUAGUC
rnacentral:rRNA from 1 species